rnacentral:rRNA from 1 species
CAAUAGCGUAUAUUAAAGUUGUUGCGGUUAAAAAGCUCGUAGUUGGAUUUCUGCUGAGAACGACCGGUCCGCCCUCUGGGUGUGUAUCUGGCUCUUUCUUGGCAUCUUCUUGGUGAACGUUGCUGCACUUGACUGUGUGGAGCGCUACCCAGGACUUUUACUUUGAGGAAAUUAGAGUGUUUCAAGCAGGCAUACGCCUUGAAUACAUUAGCAUGGAAUAAUAAGAUAGGACCUCGGUUCUAUUUUGUUGGUUUCUAGAGCUGAGGUAAUGAUUAAUAGGGAUAGUUGGGGGCAUUCGUAUUUAACUGUCAGAGGUGAAAUUCUCGGAUUUGUUAAAGACGGACUACUGCGAAAGCAUUUGCCAAGGAUGUUUNCAUUG